CUUAAACAGAGCUUUUCAAGUGUUUGGAAAGCAUCUAAUUCUUAUAUUAAAUUGAUUUAAUGUUUUGUAAUUAUUUCAGAUUUUUAAAAAAGAUGAAAGAGUUAAAAAAGAAGGAAGAUAAUGCUAUUGUGUUAUAUUUAUCUCCUAUAAGAAAUACAUGUGAAAUUUGUAAUACUGGGUUUGAAAUAUCAAAUCGUUAUGGAACAUUCACUUGUGUUUCGUGCAGUCUGUUUUUUGAAUUAAAUGUAGUUCUAACAAAAGAAAUAAUCUGCUGUAAAACUCGAAGCGGAAAAUGUUCAGUCGACAGGUCAAUCGUCGGUGAUGAGGAAUUGUGCAAAUUUUGUCGCUUAAACAAAUGCUACGAUGUCAAAAUAAAUUACGAAAUAAUCACAGACCAUCCAAAUUUUAUUCAAAGAUGCUUAGCUGCUCGUGAAAAAGAAAUUCAGUAUAAGGAGAACAUUUUGGAUUUCAAUCAGGAAUUGGAGUUAAUUCAAUGCCUGAUAUAUAUGGAGCAAUAUUAUUAUAAAUGGUUAAAUUUGUUUCCAAGUUUUCGCCGCUUAAGUGAGAAACAAAAGGGAUAUGUGAGAUUGAAGUCACACGUAUACGGUGCUAUCAUGCAACUCAUCGAGAGAUCUCUUUACGUUUACCGAACGAUUAGACUACACAAUUGUUUUCUAUAUAACAUGAAGCCCACAGAUAUUCUCUUCUUCAAUUUAAUCAAAAGUUUGAUCGAUUUUCGAGACGGCAUUAAAAACAGCACAGAAAAUAUAAAAGAAUUUCACGUUAAGAAACUCCAAUUUACAUUACAAGACGAUGUGGUAUUGAGGGACUCAAGUUUAAAAGUUCGAAAGAGUUCACGUAAUAUGCUGGAAAAUAUCGCUGAUAAAGUAUUAGAAGUGAUGAAGGAGAAUUCGAGACAUUUACUCUUCGAAGGUAAAGAAAAUUUUCGGAAAAUUGAAUCAUUAAAUUUGUUUGAUUAUUCUUCGAAUAUUCCCGAAGAAGAUUAUCCAUAUAAUAAAAUCGAUUUUUGCGUUAAACUAUGAAUGUAAAAAAUCGCGUAAUUUUGUAUACUCUGCAGAUUUUAAUAUUUUAUGCAGUUGAAUGGACUGCAGUGAUUGAAAUCAUCACUCGAACUUUUUACUGUUUUAAUCAGAUCCUAUGCAAAAAUAUUUUGUCGACAAUGUUUUAAAAACAGAAUAAAAAUUCUUAUUAUAAAAGACGAG
rnacentral:misc_RNA from 1 species